UACGUAGGGUGCGAGCGUUGUCCGGAAUUAUUGGGCGUAAAGGGCUCGUAGGCGGUUUGUCGCGUCGGGAGUGAAAACUCAGGGCUUAACCCUGAGCCUGCUCCCGAUACGGGCAGACUAGAGGUAUGCAGGGGAGAACGGAAUUCCUGGUGUAGCGGUGAAAUGCGCAGAUAUCAGGAAGAACACCCGUGGCUAAGGCGGCUCUCUAGUACGUGACUGACGCUGAGACGCGAAAGCGUGGGGAGCGAACAGG
rnacentral:rRNA from 1 species